GAGCCUGACAUUUCCUAGCGUCUCUCCAGCCCAUCUGUACUGUAAGUUGCACAGGAAGAGGAGCGCUGCCCUCUGCUGGCCAGAAUGCUGCCAUGGCUGCCACAGAGGGAUGAGUUGAUUGGCUGCUGCCCCAAGGCAUUUUCCAGUACCUGCCAGGUGGAGAGCUACAGGGAUGCCCUGGACAGGUGGACCCAGAUGAAGCUGCUGUUAACUACCUGCUAGUGACACAAGAUGGUGGUCCACAGCGGGAGGAUGUGGGGUCUUCGACGGAGCUAGAGUGGAGGCCUACAACAUCUUUCAUAACUGUUGGGCACAGGGUAACCAUCUGUCUGUCUGUCUCUGUCCUAGGUUGAACCUAUUUGGGCGUGAGCUCAUUCACUGCUGCAAGUUUUGAUAGGUGGAUGUAUGUGAUUGAUGGUAGACCCAACAGAAAGCUGGCCACUGAUAGGAGAGACAGCUGGAGCCUGAAGAAGCCCAUGACCAUGAUUCUUGCGCUGCCAGCUCAUGAACACACACACACAGAUGAUGAUGAUGAUGAAGAUCAGGAUGGUCAAACCCGCCAGAAUGGUUACUGAGAUCCAGCGCUCCAGACCAAACAGCAACACGGAAGAAGAGGCCUCUGUGUACUCAUCUAGUCAUCACAACAAAACACUUUUUAUCUUUUAGAUGUCUCUAACUGACUCAGGUCGGAUCUUCUUGUCACUGACAGACAGAGUCAGUCCUGCCUCUCCUGUUUCCUGUCCGUUCAGUCUCCAGGACACGUUCACCUUGACAUCAUUGCCUACAUCACACAGGAGCCUGGCUGACGCGCUGCUACAGUUGUGUGUGACUCUGGGUUUAGACACAGGAGCUGACAACAAAAACAUGUUUGGUCAUGUUUAAUGUGAAAGCAAAUGGCAAGUCCCCUUAAUACCAACUGUGAGGCAAAUCAUACACUUUCACAUAAAAAUGUAAUACUGAUUUUGAUCCAGAUCAGGACGUGCAUGUUGUGGAUUGUUGUGGAUCGUUGUUGUUGCAGUUACUGUAUAUCAGUAUGACAUCCUGUAUGUCAGGAUGCCUUGCCUUGCUUAACCAAAUAGAAAAAAAGUUCAAUAUCAGUACAUUCCACUGAUACUUACAUAGGACAUGUAAAA